UACGAAGGGGACUAGCGUUGUUCGGAUUUACUGGGCGUAAAGCGCGCGUAGGCGGAUCGCUAAGUCAGGGGUGAAAUCCCAGGGCUCAACCCUGGAACUGCCUUUGAUACUGACGAUCUGGAGAUCGGGAGAGGUUGGUGGAAUUCCGAGUGUAGAGGUGAAAUUCGUAGAUAUUCGGAGGAACACCAGUGGCGAAGGCGACUUACUGGACACAUAUUGACGCUGAGGUGCGAAAGCGUGGGGAGCAAACAGG
rnacentral:rRNA from 1 species